AAACUUAAAUGAAUUGACGGGACCGCACAAGCGGUGGAUGAUGUGGUUUAAUUCGAUGCAACGCGAAAACCUUACCACCUUUGACAUGGCAGGAAUCCCGAAGAGAUUGGGAGUGCUCGAAAGAGAACCUGCACACAGGUGCUGCAUGGCUGUCGUCAGCUCGUGUCGUGAGAUGUUGGGUUAAGUCCCGCAACGAGCGCAACCCUUGCCAUUAGUUGCUACGAAAGGGCACUCUAAUGGGACUGCCGGUGACAAACCGGAGGAAGGUGGGGAUGACGUCAAGUCCUCAUGGCCCUUAUAGGUGGGGCUACACACGUCAUACAAUGGCCGGUACAGAGGGUAGCCAACCCGCGAGGGGGAGCCAAUCCCAUAAAGCCAUUCGUAGUCCGGAUCGCAGUCUGCAACCUCGACUGCGUGAAGUCGGAAUCGCUAGUAAUCGUGGAUCAGAAUGUCACGGUGAAUACGUUCCCGGGUCUU
rnacentral:rRNA from 1 species